rnacentral:piRNA from 1 species
UGAACAAGAAACUCAAUUAUUCUAGUUGCA